AAAAAGCGUAACAAGGUCUCCGUAGGUGAACCUGCGGAGGGAUCAUUACACAAAUAUGAAGGCGGGCUGGAACCUCUCGGGGUUACAGCCUUGCUGAAUUAUUCACCCUUGUCUUUUGCGUACUUCUUGUUUCCUUGGUGGGUUCGCCCACCACUAGGACAAACAUAAACCUUUUGUAAUUGCAAUCAGCGUCAGUAACAAAUUAAUAAUUACAACUUUCAACAACGGAUCUCUUGGUUCUGGCAUCGAUGAAGAACGCAGCGAAAUGCGAUAAGUAGUGUGAAUUGCAGAAUUCAGUGAAUCAUCGAAUCUUUGAACGCACAUUGCGCCCUUUGGUAUUCCAAAGGGCAUGCCUGUUCGAGCGUCAUUUGUACCCUCAAGCUUUGCUUGGUGUUGGGCGUCUUGUCUCUAGCUUUGCUGGAGACUCGCCUUAAAGUAAUUGGCAGCCGGCCUACUGGUUUCGGAGCGCAGCACAAGUCGCACUCUCUAUCAGCAAAGGUCUAGCAUCCAUUAAGCCUUUUUUCAACUUUGACCUCGAUCAGUACGACCCCCCCUCA
rnacentral:rRNA from 1 species